rnacentral:rRNA from 1 species
GAUGAACGCUGGCGGCGUGCCUAAUACAUGCAAGUCGAGCGAACGGACGAGAAUCUUUCUUCUCUUAUGUUAGCGGCGGACGGGUGAGUAACACGUGGAUAACCUACCUAUAAGACUGGGAUCACUUCGGGAAACCGGAGCUAAUACCGGAUAAUAUUUUGAACCGCAUGGUUCAAAAGUGAAAGACGGUCUUGCUGUCACUUCUAGAUGUAUCCGCGCUGCAUUAGCUAGUUGGUAAGGUAACGGCUUACCAAGGCAACGAUGCAUAGCCGACCUGAGAGGGUGAUCGGCCACACUGGAACUGAGACACGGUCCAGACUCCUACGGGAGGCAGCAGUAGGGAAUCUUCGGCAAUGGGCGAAAGCCUGACGGAGCAACGCCGCGUGAGUGAUGAAGGUCUUCGGAUCGUAAAACUCUGUUAGUAGGGAAGAACAUAUGUGUAAGUAAAUGUGCACAUCUUGACGGUACCAAAUCAGAAAGCCACGGCUAACUACGUG